rnacentral:rRNA from 1 species
GAGUUGCGAACGGGUGAGUAACGCGUAGGUAACCUGCCUCAUAGCGGGGGAUAACUAUUGGAAACGAUAGCUAAUACCGCAUAAGAGUAAUUAACACAUGUUGGUUAUUUAAAAGGAGCAAUUGCUUCACUGUGAGAUGGACCUGCGUUGUAUUAGCUAGUUGGUGAGGUAAAGGCUCACCAAGGCGACGAUACAUAGCCGACCUGAGAGGGUGAUCGGCCACACUGGGACUGAGACACGGCCCAGACUCC